AGAGUAAGCUUGCUUACUUGAGACCGGCGCACGGGUGCGUAACGCGUAUGCAAUCUACCUUGUACAAGGGGAUAGCCCAGAGAAAUUUGGAUUAAUACCCUAUAGUAUAUGAUUUUGGCAUCACUAUCAUAUUAAAGAUUUAUCGGUACAAGAUGAGCAUGCGUCCCAUUAGCUAGUUGGUAUGGUAACGGCAUACCAAGGCAAUGAUGGGUAGGGGUCCUGAGAGGGAGAUCCCCCACACUGGUACUGAGACACGGACCAGACUCCUACGGGAGGCAGCAGUGAGGAAUAUUGGUCAAUGGGCGCAAGCCUGAACCAGCCAUGCCGCGUGCAGGAUGACGGUCCUAUGGAUUGUAAACUGCUUUUAUACGGGAAGAAACCCUCCUUCGAGAAGGAGCUUGACGGUACCGUAAGAAUAAGGAUCGGCUAACUCCGUGCCAGCAGCCGCGGUAAUACGGAGGAUCCAAGCGUUAUCCGGAAUCAUUGGGUUUAAAGGGUCCGUAGGCGGUUUUAUAAGUCAGUGGUGAAAUCCGGCAGCUCAACUGUCGAACUGCCAUUGAUACUGUAGAACUUGAAUUAUUGUGAAGUAACUAGAAUAUGUAUUGUAGC
rnacentral:rRNA from 1 species